rnacentral:rRNA from 1 species
ACAUAGGGUGCAAGCGUUGUCCGGAAUUAUUGGGCGUAAAGAGUUCGUAGGUGGUUCGUUACGUCGGAUGUGAAAAUCUGGGGCUCAACCCCAGACCUGCAUUCGAUACGGGCGAGCUAGAGUUUGGUAGGGGAGACUGGAAUUCCUGGUGUAGCGGUGGAAUGCGCAGAUAUCAGGAGGAACACCAAUGGCGAAGGCAGGUCUCUGGGCCAUAACUGACACUGAGGAGCGAAAGUGCGGGGAGCGAACAGGAUUAGAUACCCUGGUAGUCCGCACCGUAAACGGUGGGCACUAGUUGUGGGAACCUUCCACGGUUUCCGCGACGCAGCAAACGCAUUAAGUGCCCCGCCUGGGGAGUACGAUCGCAAGAUUA